UACGUAGGUGGCAAGCGUUGUCCGGAUUUACUGGGCGUAAAGAGCGCGCAGGCGGUCUUGCAAGUCGCGUGUGAAAGCCCCCGGCUCAACUGGGGAGGGUCACGCGAUACUGCUCGACUCGAAGGCAGGAGAGGGAAGUGGAAUUCCCGGUGUAGUGGUGAAAUGCGUAGAUAUCUGGAGGAACACCGGUGGCGAAGGCGGCAUCCUGGACCGGCAUUGACGCUGAGGCGCGAAAGCCAGGGGAGCAAACGGG
rnacentral:rRNA from 1 species